rnacentral:rRNA from 1 species
UGAGGAAUCUUGCGCAAUGGGGGAAACCCUGACGCAGCAACGCCGCGUGAGUGAGGAAGGUCUUCGGAUCGUAAAGCUCUGUCGGGUGGAAAGAAGUGGGGAAAGGUGAACAGCCUUUCUCCUUGACGGUACCACCGAAGGAAGCACCGGCUAACUCCGUGCCAGCAGCCGCGGUAAUACGGAGGGUGCGAGCGUUGUUCGGAAUCAUUGGGCGUAAAGAGCGUGUAGGCGGCUUGGCAGGUCAGAUGUGAAAUCCCUGGGCUCAACCCAGGAAGUGCAUUUGAAACUGCCCUGCUGGAGUAUGGGAGAGGGAAGUGGAAUUCCUGGUGUAGAGGUGAAAUUCGUAGAUAUCAGGAGGAACACCCGUGGCGAAGGCGACUUCCUGGCCCAAUACUGACGCUGAGACGCGAGAGCGUGGGGAGCAAACAG